UACGGAGGGUGCAAGCGUUGUCCGGAUUUAUUGGGUUUAAAGGGUGCGUAGGCGGCCCGUUAAGUCAGUGGUGAAAUCCCGCAGCUCAACUGCGGAACUGCCAUUGAUACUGGCGGGCUUGAGUACAGACGAGGUAGGCGGAAUUGACAGUGUAGCGGUGAAAUGCAUAGAUAUUGUCAAGAACACCGAUAGCGAAGGCA
rnacentral:rRNA from 1 species